rnacentral:tRNA from 1 species
AGGGGUGUCGCCAAGUGGUAAGGCAGCGGAUUUUGAUUCCGCCAUUCCUAGGUUCAAAUCCUAGCUCCCCUG